GAGAAAUGAAAGCUUCACAGAAAGAUAGCCUACACAGAGAUUGUCAGUUAGACUAACUCGGCAAACAGCUGAAGCUAGAGGGGGUCAUGCCGACAAUUAAACUCCUGGAAGACAUUGAGGACCUGAGUCGUUCAAGAUUUGGUCAGCCAAGUCCCAGACAUGGGUUAGAGCUGUUGUUCUGGUUUGCUACAGAAUAUAUUUUGUUUGACAACAACCACCAGAUUGUCAUGAUAUACAAUCCAAAGGAUGGGUACUUUGGCUUCCAUCACUUCAAAAACAGAAUUGAUAAUCAAGAUGGUCGACUUCUACCCGUUCAGAUCAGCCCAUACUAUGAAGUGGGUAACUUAGGGUCAACAGGAGCAAACCAACUACCUUACUAUGUAACAAAGAAGUUCACACACGGCAUAGAUGGAAGUAACACUGAUCGCCUUAUUAUUGGCUUGAAUUCAAAUGGGAAAAUUCGUAAAGUCUAUGUGACACAACAUAAAGAUCUGAGAAACUUUAGUCAGGACAACACUUAUCAGCUCAGCGAGAGCCUUCUAUAUGAAAUUCACAAUAUUUCCCGCUGUGAGGCUUUCUUGAAAAAGGUCCGUGAAACAGGAAAUGUGAAGGCAAAGGCAAAGUCAAGACAGAGACAAGGAGAAUAUGUCUCUAUUCCUAUGGAUGACAAUUUUCCAACACAAGAGGAAAAGACAUGUUGUCCAUGCACAAUUCUUUAAAUAUGCAUAAAAUAGAAAUCCUCUAGAUUGCUUCAUGAUUACAAAUAGUUUUUUUAGUCUGUUGUGAAAGUCUGGUCUUGAUCCCUCUGUAUUCAUCAUGCUUACUUCUUUAACAGCCUGAGGUUACUGAUCUUGCAACUGAUUUUGCGGUUUACUUUAAUGUCUAUAUAUGCUUGGCUAUAUGUGU